AGCGAACGUUAGCGGCGCGCCUACACAUGCAAGUCGCACGAGAAAGGGGGCAACCCCCGGUACAGUGGCGCACGGGUGAGUAACACGUGGGUGAUCUGCCCAGAAGAAGGGGAUAACCUCUCGAAAGGGGGGCUAAUACCGCAUAGGACCACCGGGGCUUUGGCUCUGUGGUGAAAGGGGGCCUCUGUUUACAAGCUCCUGCUUCUGGAUGAGCCCGCGUCCCAUCAGCUAGUUGGUAGGGUAAUGGCCUACCAAGGCUACGACGGGUAGCUGGUCUAAGAGGAUGGCCAGCCACACUGGAACUGAGACACGGUCCAGACUCCUACGGGAGGCAGCAGUGGGGAAUCUUGCGCAAUGGGCGAAAGCCUGACGCAGCGACGCCGCGUGGGUGACGAAGGCCUUCGGGUUGUAAAGCCCUGUGGGGUAGAACGAACUGGCAUCGGGCUAAUAUCCCGGUGUCUUGACGGUACUGCCUUAGCAAGCAUCGGCUAACUCUGUGCCAGCCGCCGCAGUAAAAC
rnacentral:rRNA from 1 species